UACGAAGGGGGCUAGCGUUGUUCGGAAUUACUGGGCGUAAAGCGCACGUAGGCGGAUCGAUCAGUCAGGGGUGAAAUCCCAGGGCUCAACCCUGGAACUGCCUUUGAUACUGUCGAUCUGGAGUAUGGAAGAGGUGAGUGGAAUUCCGAGUGUAGAGGUGAAAUUCGUAGAUAUUCGGAGGAACACCAGUGGCGAAGGCGGCAUCCUGGACCGGUAUUGACGCUGAGGCGCGAAAGCCAGGGGAGCAAACGGG
rnacentral:rRNA from 1 species